AUGAAGUGGUUGAGUUUAGAAUUUAUGGUGACAGAAGGAAAACUGCCACCAAAACUUCAGCCCUGGAUAUGGGGAAAGCAGACUAGGCUGUUCAGGGAACUAGUCAGCAAGGUCCCCUGGGAAGCUGCUUUUGAAGUCAUUGGCGUCCAUCAGUGCUGGUCAAUCAUAAAGCACUGCCUCCUAAAAGUACAAGAUCAGGUGAUUCCAAAAUAUUGGAAGGCAGGCAGGUGGGGCAGAAGGCCGGCCUGGCUGACAAGGCAUCUACUGGAGCUUAGACAGAAAAAGAAAGUGUACAGCUGCUGGAAAGAGGGUCAGGCGAUGAGGAAGGAAUAUGCUGUUCGUGUUUGUAGGGAGAAAAUUUGUGGGGCCAAAGCCCAACAAGAGUUGAAGCUGGCCAAGUCUGUGAGAGACAAUAAAAAAGUUUUUUUUUUUUUUUUAAAUGUUAACAGAAAAAGGAGAAACAAAGAAAACUUAGUUCUGCUACUUGACGGGGAAGAUCUCCUCACAGACAAUGACAUAGGCAAAGCAGAGAAGUUUAAUGCCUUCUUCACCUCUGUCUUCAAUGCUGCUGAUGGGCUUUGGGACCCUGGGUGCCCUGAGCAGGAAGACCAUGAUGGUGGGAAUGACAAACUCGCAACCAACCCUGAAUGUGUGUGGGAUUUGCUGCUCCACCUGGAUCCAUACAAGCUCAUGGAUCCAGAUGGGAUCCAUCCCAGGGUGCUUAAAGAGCUGGCUGAUGUCAUUGUGGGACCUCUCUCAAUUAUUUUUCAACUGUCUUGGGAAUCUGGAGAGGUCCCAGUAGACUGGAAGCUGGCGAAUGUUGUGCCAAAUUUUAAGAAGUGUAAGAAAGAAGACCGUAGCAAUUACAGGCCUGUCAGUCUCAUGUCACUGCCUGGUAAAAUUAUGGAGAAGAUGAUUCUUGAAGUUAUUGAGGCGCACCCGGGCGACAAUGCAGUCAUUGGUCCCAGCCAACAUGGGUUCAUGAGGGCUAGGUCCUGCCUAACAAAUUUGCUUUCCUUUUAUAAGAUCAUCUAG
rnacentral:lncRNA from 1 species